UAGUAUGGGGAUCUGCCCGAUAGAGGGGGGUAACUACUGGAAACGGUGGCUAAUACCGCAUAAUGUCUACGGACCAAAGCAGGGGCUCUUCGGACCUUGCACUAUCGGAUGAACCCAUAUGGGAUUAGCUAGUAGGUGGGAUAAAGGCUCACCUAGGCGACGAUCUCUAGCUGGUCUGAGAGGAUGAUCAGCCACACUGGGACUGAGACACGGCCCAG
rnacentral:rRNA from 1 species